CAGCCGCCGCGGUAAUACGUAGGUGGCAAGCGUUGUCCGGAAUUAUUGGGCGUAAAGGGCUCGCAGGCGGUUUCUUAAGUCUGAUGUGAAAGCCCCCGGCUCAACCGGGGAGGGUCAUUGGAAACUGGGAAACUUGAGUGCAGAAGAGGAGAGCGGAAUUCCACGUGUAGCGGUGAAAUGCGUAGAGAUGUGGAGGAACACCAGUGGCGAAGGCGACUCUCUGGUCCGUAACUGACGCUGAGGAGCGAAAGCGUGGGGAGCGAACAGGAUUAGAUACCCGAGUAGUCCCUGUCUCUUAUAC
rnacentral:rRNA from 1 species